GUUAUUUCAACUUUGCCCUUCAACAUUUUUGUCCGGUUCCUUUUCUUUCCUGCUUUCUGCAGUGAUUCCUUUUCACUGCUUUUGGUCCAAUUUUUUUCCCACUUCUUUUGCUUCGCUUCUUCCGUAGCCGUUUGCUCUCCCCUCUCUUCGCCUCUACUGGUCUCAAAGUGGAUAGUUUUGUGGUGAGUUCUUCUAAUCUUGCAUCUACAAGUUUUUUAUGCAACUGUAUGGAUUGUGUUCUGUUAAAUUUUAGAUGUUAGAAGCUUUUAAUUUUUUUUGGGUUCAAUUUUAAAUGGGUUGUUGCUUUCAGAGUUUUCGUUUGAUGACAGAGAUGGGGUUUUUGGGGAGAAACUUUUAAUCCGUGAGUUUUUUAGUUAGGUUGUGUUGUGGGUCUUGAGAAAUGGAUUUGUAAAUGGAUUUUCUAUUGAAAUUGUUUCUCUUCUCAUUUUUUUUUUGUGCCAUCGGGUUUUGCAUAUGGGUGUAUAAUCAGGUUUUCUUUUGAAUUUCAGGGGAUUCAGGUUUUUAUUUUUCUGGAACUUUUGUCUGCAGCUUUGGAAGACAUUUGUGCUUAAGGUGAGAAACUUUGGUUGCUUGCUUUUGGGUUUUGUUGUAGAAUUAAUUAAUUUUUUUUAAGAGUUACAUUCGUGGGAAUUCUUUUGUUCUUCUUUUUUCCUGCAUCUCAAAAAUGCCACAUAAUGUGAGUUUAUAAUUAAAUAAGAAUAUCAAAAUGGGUUUUCUGUGCAAAUUUUCUUUUUCUGAUUUUAUAGAACCGAAGAGGAUGUUAACAAUAACAUUAUUGUGUGAUAUGCGAUCUAAAGUUCUUUGGUGAGUUAUUUGGUUUUCUUGCCACAUGGGAUUUUAACAUAUUUUUUUUUCGUGGUUUAUGCGUGGUUCUCUGAUAUGUUUUGAUUUUUUAUUUCAGGAAAAGUUAACGAUACGAUCAAACGUUUACUGGUGAAUUUUCUAUUUUUCUGAUUGUGUGUGAUUUAAUUUUUUUCAAGCUUUGGGUGUACUUUUCUGAACUGCUUUGAUUUUUAGUUGCAGCAAAAGUUGUUGCUCGAAUUUUCCAGUUUUUAUCUGCAGCUUUGCAAGCUCUUUAUCAACAAGGUAUAUAAUUUUUAUUCUUUUUCCUGAAUCUUUUGUUGGAUGGAAUCGUUUUUUUUGUUUUUGGUGAGUUCUUCUAAUCUCGCAUCUGGUACUGUUUUUUUUUCCGACUGUAUAGAUUGUGUUUUGUUGAAUUUUAAAUGGUAGAAGCUUCUUGGGUUCAAUUUAAAUGGGUUGUUAUCAACUAUUGAAUUGUUUUCGAAGCUAUUUGGCUACUCCCUUAACGCCCUUUUUCCUUUUCUUUUCAGCUUCUUUGAUUUGCAGCCCCCUUCUUUUUUUUCCUUUUCCAGAUUUAGCUUUUUUCCCCUAUAUUGUAUCUUUUGGCUAAUUUUGUGGGUCUUGGUCAGUGCUGUGGGUAUUGGUGAAUUUCUAGCAUGUUUAUGCAUGCAGUUUUUGUUAUAAUUUAUGGAUUGUGUUUUGUUCAAUUUUUAAAUGUCAGAAGCUCUUAAUUUUUUUGGGUUCAAUUUUAAAUGGGUUGUUAUCAACCAUUGAAUUUCUUUUGGAGUAUUCAUUUGAUAAGAGAGAUGGGGGGGGGGGGGGGUUCUUUUGGGUGAAACUUUUGAUCCGUGAGAUUUUUAGUUAGGUUGUGGUGUGGGUUUUCGCAAAUUUCUAUCGUGUUUAUGCAUGCUUUUUUUUGUUAUAGAUUUGGAAGAACAUAGCAUUACAGGGUGUUGAGGGUUUGCUGGCGGGGGAAAGUAGCAGCGUUAAGAUUUUGCAGGUGAGAUAUUAGGGUGAGAGAAUAACGGGACAAAGAGCAUCGAAGACACAUUUGGGAUUAGGGGUAGCAAAACAGGGGAAAAGAAUAUGACAGAGGAAUGGACUCUUAAUUUUUUUUCUUAACUGGUUUGGGAUUUUGCUUGCCUUUGGGGUCGUUGUUGGCGUCAAGCCAUUUGGUGGUGUUAAGUGGUGUCUGUUUUUUCAUAACUUUUAUUACUAAUUUUUAUGUUGUUUGCGAUUUUGUGUCCUGGGAUUUCUGAAUUUUAUCGUUCAUUGUCGGUUUUUUAAAUUUUUUUUUGUCUUCAUUUGUUUGUUUAAUAUGUUGUGUUUGUCCUGGGACGCCGUUUUGCAAGUUUUCUUUCCAUUGGGACCGCUACAUUUUAUAAGUGAUGCGGGUGAGGUUUAGAUACUCAAAACACUCCAUUUUUUUUUUUUUCCAAACAUGCACGUUUGGUUCUCUUCGGUUUUAAAUGUUUAAAAUUAAAUGGUUAUUUUGAUAAAAUGGUUUAUUAGUUUUUCUUAUGUGUUAUGAUCAGGAAUUCAAUUGGAUUGGGUAAAAUGCUUUAUCAAUUUACACUAUAGGGAAUUUUAUGUAUUAUGGUCUGUGAGUUUUAUUGCUCAUCGUUUGUUCUUUUUUCUUUGUUUGCCGGUUUCUUUUGCAAGGGAUCACAAUAGUUUGGGCAUCUUUUUGAGUUUUAAAUUGCUUGAGGGUAAGAUUUAGAUAAUAAAAUUCGAAACGAGGCGUUACUUUUCUUUUCGGAAACUAAUUUAAAAGCUCUACAUGGAUAGUUAACUGUGUGGAAAUGUCUUGAUAAAACCUGAACCUUUUGUAUAUGUGAAUGUUGAUUCCUUACUACAAAUAUAAUAGGCAUAGUGGUCUAAAAAAUUAAAACCCACCGACACAUGACAUCAGAAAUUCAAUCCAAUUUCUACUGUUACCAUUACCUUCUUUCAUUCAGAUCAUUCAGCAUACAAAUUCAAAUAUCUAGAUCACUCAGAUGAACUUUAGAAAUUGAAAAUUCAAGUGACAGAUUUAUUGUCAUUAUUUCAAUAUAUUUCAAUUAAUUUACAUUGUUUUAGUACCCAGGUUUACAGCAUGAGCUGAAGAUCCAAGAUCAUUUUGGCAGACUUUGAUAUUGAAGACACUAAUUUUGCUCCUUAUUUUGUACUUUAAUGUCCAACUUUUUACAUGUUUUAUACACUUAUAACACCUGCAGCAACACGCAGGCACCAUGACUAGUUAUAUGACUAAAAAGACCCAUGAGGAUCCUCUGGAUUCUCUUUGUAAGGAUCCUCCAAUCAUAUCCAUUCAACGUACAUUAUGCGGUUAUAAAUCAUUGUAAAUUUUUUUUAUUUAAAAUUGAAUAUAAACAGUACUUGACGAAAACUGACUGCACGAUGUAAGAUGAAUAGAUGUGAUUGGAGGAUUCUCAGGAUUCUCACAAAGAUGAUCUGGCGAGAAUCCUCUCUCUAAGAAGACCACAUGUCUUGCCCGUUUAAAAUUUUAAAAAUUGUACCUUCCUAGCACUGUCUGAUCAACGGAUG
rnacentral:lncRNA from 1 species